rnacentral:lncRNA from 1 species
GUGCGGCGGGGGAACGCCCAUGUAUUAUCCCCUGAACAUCUCGCUGGGUUAAGAAGCCAACACUUCUGGCCACGUAGCAACGUGCGCGCUCCCCUUCCGCUCAGUACGCCUUUAACUCGAAACCCACGCGAUAGUCUCGACAAGCCGCACCCUUCCCAUAGCUGCUUCAUUUACUGUUUCCCAUCUUACGUACCGUUCCUAACGGCUGGCAAGUGCUGGAAGUUCUCAAGUUCGGAUGGUCCAACAAUGACCCUACGGUAGGUUGAGGGCGAUGGAGAAAAUUGCACAGGACACAGUGAAUGCUCCCCUCGUUCGGCCUACGUCGCACUACUAGGCCUGGCGGUAGCAAACGCGUAUCGGAAUUCCCCACAGUUACGACGCCCUUACCGUUGUGGACACAGGCAUUAUCUUUAGGGUACUGCGGUCUGGCGUUGAGGAUAAUAGCGUCACCGAAACGAUAUAACUUGGCUGAUCAUCAAGUUCCCCAAGUACGAAGGGAAAACACCAUAUAAAAGUCUAUCUUUCCUUUCUUCUAAGAAGAACCGGGCUUCCGAACGACGACAGAGAAAGAUUUUGCACCCGGGCUUCGACACACAGCUCGAGUGCGCUGGCAACAGCAAGGGACGAGGAAUUAUUCCGAAAGAAGCAGACAUUCAUAGGCCACCAUAGCACCUCAANN